rnacentral:misc_RNA from 1 species
UUAAAGAAAAUUAACCAAGUGCUGAGUGGAUCAAUUGGAGUCAGAAAACAAUUGCCAUCUCUAUUGAAUUGUCGUUCUCAAUGUGGAAAAACUGCCAAGUUCGAGGGCCCUGCCUCUGGAAAAAUCCCAACAACAACGAUUAAAGGUGGAUGGAAAGUUAUGAUACACCAACGCACACACACAUCUUAGGUAAGUUUAUCCCACCAUCUCCAUAAAUAAACUUUCUACUUGUUUGAUUGAAACAGCCAAUUCCUAAUCUAUAACCUCAGAAGGUCGCAAACUGCAUAUAUGGGCCUCCCAGCAUCUUCCUCAUCCUUGUGCCUCUCUACUAUUAUUCAUUUCUUGUGCUUCAACUUGCCAGCAGCCUCUUCCAUCCACAGCAACAAUGAGACAGAUCGACUUGCUUUGCUGGAAUUCAAGGCCAAAAUAAGUGAUGACCCUUUUGGGAUCAUGAGCUCAUGGAAUAGCACUCUUCACUUCUGCCGCUGGUAUGGUGUCACCUGUGGGCGUAGACACCAAAGAGUCACAAUCUUAGACUUACAGUCCCUCAAACUUUCAGGUUCCAUAUCACCACAUGUUGGUAAUUUGAGCUUCUUAAGGGAGUUGUACCUUGCAAACAAUAGCUUCAGCCAUGAUAUCCCUCCUCAGAUUGGCCAUUUACGCAGACUGCAAAUUUUGUCUCUUUCUAACAAUUCAAUUGAUGGUCAAAUUCCUCCCACCAUAUCUAACUGUUCAAACCUUGUUAUCUUUGAUUUGGCUAACAACAAUCUCGUCCGAGAAAUCCCUAUGGAGCUUGGUUCCUUACUGAAGCUCAAAGAGAUCUAUCUACAUGGCAAUAAUGUAAUAGGGACUCUCCCACCCUCUUUAGGGAAUUUGUCGUCCCUUCAGUUGCUUGCUGCAUAUCGAAAUCAUUUGAAUGGAGAUCUCCCAGAAACUUUAGGCCAAUUGAUCAGUCUACAAUCUUUAACAAUUUUUGAAAAUGGAUUUUCAGGUACCAUCCCUCCCUCUGUCUUCAAUCUUUCUUCGAUCACGGAAUUAGACGUGUCAUCUAAUCAAUUCCAAGGGAAUCUUCCCUUGAGCAUUGGAAACUCUCUUCCAAAUCUCCGAAUUUUUUCUAUUGGUGAUAACGAAUUCACUGGCACCAUUCCAACUUCAUUUUCUAACGCCUCAAAUCUAGGAUUUCUUUAUCUGCCCCUAAAUAAUCUCACCGGAAGUGUGCCUUCUCUUGGCAAGUUGCAUAGGCUUUUAGCAUUACAGAUUGGCGUCAACAAUUUAGGAAGUGGGAAAGCUGAUGACUUGAGAUUUCUUUCCACCUUAACUAACGCCACAGCUUUACGAAACAUCGGCAUAGGCUACAACAACUUUGGAGGCGAACUUCCUGAACACAUCGCCAACUUCUCAAAGGUGCUCCGGUUCUUUGUCAUACAGAACAAUCAGAUAUCUGGAAACAUCCCAAUUGGAAUAAAGUUCCUUGUUAACUUGGAAGUUUUCGCUGCAGACAGGAACAAACUUUCAGGUACCAUUCCAUCGGGCAUCGGACAGCUUCAAAAUGUAAAAUUACUUUACCUUGCAAUAAAUAAUUUAUCGGGAUAUAUUCCAUCAUCUCUGGGAAACCUGACAAAUUUACUUGAACUUUUUUUAUAUAACAAUAAUAUUCAAGGUACCAUCCCUUCAAGUCUAGGCAGUUGCCAAAAAUUGCUCGGACUAGAUUUAUCUACAAACAAUCUUAGUGGUCCCAUACCCCCACAAGUUAUUGGACUUUCCUCGUUGUCACAAGUUCUUUCUUUGUCUCUGAAUAAUUUGUCUUGUUCCCUUCCAAAAGAAGUAGAAAAUUUGAAAAAUCUAGGGAUCCUUGACCUUGCUGACAACAUGUUGUCAGGGGAGAUUCCCAGUGGCCUUGGCAGUUGUACAAGUCUAGAAUUGUUAUACUUGGGUGCCAACUCGUUCCAAGGGUCCAUUCCUUCCUCUUUCGGUUUAUUAAGAGGCAUUAGAGAGUUAAAUAUUUCUCAUAAUAAUUUGUCAGGCAUGAUUCCAGAGUUUUUAGAGGGCUUCAAAAUACAGCUUUUGGAUUUGUCCUAUAAUGAUUUUGAGGGAAUGGUACCAGUACAAGGAGUUUUCAAGAAUUCUAGUGCUACCUUUGUGGCAGGAAAUAAAAAUCUAUGUGGUGGCAUACCUGAUUUUGGGCUAUCAGUGUGCAAGGUUGAACCGUCAAAGAGGAGACCAAAUGCAAAAUUAAAGACCAUGAUUUCUGCAGUUUGUGUGGGUGUAGGCGUUGCACUUUUGCUUAUUUCUUUGCUUCUUUGCCACCAUUCAAGAAAAAGAAAAGGAGAAUCUGCAUCACUAUUUGAUGGGAAUUCACUAUUGAAGUUGUCUUAUCAAAGCCUGCUUAAAGCUACUAAUGGAUUCUCUUUAGAAAAUUUGAUUGGUACGGGUAGCUUUGGAUCUGUAUAUAAAGGGAUUCUUGAUCAAGAAGGAAUGGUAAUUGCAGUUAAGGUGCUUAACCUCAUGCGACGAGGAGCUUCAAAGAGCUUUGUAGCCGAAUGUGAAGCCUUGCGAAAUGUCAGGCAUCGAAAUCUUGUCAAAGUACUCACAGCGUGUGCAGGAAUUGAUUAUCAGGGCAAUGAUUUCAAAGCAUUGGUUUAUGAAUUUAUGGUUAAUGGGAGCUUAGAUGAUUGGUUGCAUCCAAUUCUUGGAUUAGAUGAGGUGCCAAGGACUUUAAAUGUUAUCCAAAGAUUGAAUAUUGCCAUCGAUGUUGCUUCUGCGCUUGAGUAUCUUCAUUAUCAUUGUGGAACACCAUUUGUUCAUUGUGAUCUAAAACCAAGAAAUGUCCUUCUCGACGAAAAAAUGACUGGACAUGUAGGUGAUUUUGGGUUGGUAAAGUUUCUUUCUACUAGGAUGCUUGGCCAUUCAACAAAUCAAUCUAGUUCUCUUGGAAUAAGGGGAACUAUCGGAUAUUGUCCUCCAGAGUAUGGUGUGGGCAAUGAAGUAUCAACACGUGGUGACACAUUUAGUUUUGGAAUACUCUUGUUGGAGAUGUUCACGGGAAAGAGGCCAACCGAUGACAUGUUCAAAGAGAAUUUGAGCCUUCACAGUUUUGUCAAAAGAUUUUUGCCGGAACAAGUAAAAGAGAUUAUAGAUCCCAAUCUUUUUGAAGCGCAACUCAAUGCACAUAGUAACUACAAUUUUAGGAAUAGCGGAAACGAUAUAUUCAUUGAAUGUUUGAUUUCAAUAUUAGAAAUUGGAAUCUCUUGUUCUACAGAAUCACCACAAGAGCGCAUGAAUAUAAGUGAUGUUGUUGCUCAGCUCUCUUCCAUUAGAAACAAACUCGUUGGAACUCAAUUACCAAGGGGGGGAGAGACUGUAAGUGCACUUCAAGUAGCAGGUAUAUAAUGCUAUUCAUUUGUUGAAAUAGAGAAUAAAACUUGUCAUAUGCAUGUAACAAAAUCUUCCCAUCCCUUGCUCAUAUGAUAAAAAAAUUUUGAAUGUUUUUUUGUAACAUCAGUUGUUUGCUUGCAAAUGGAUGCAAGAUUGGUUAAAAAAUCCCUUUUUUCCAUCUCAGGUACUCAAGAUUGAUGACUCUGAUGCGGAAUGCCUGUUGAUUACCAUGAAGCAUAACUUGUUAUACCUACUCUAUGUAAUCCUUAUAUAUGUUUGUAAUGCUGCAUCUUGCUUAGUUAGUACUGUGUUUCCUUCAUGCAUAAAGUGUUUUUCUUAUUUUAACUCUUUACACCCCCAAGAUGAGAUCUCAUUAAAAAAUAUUGCAGUAUCUCUCACGUUUAUAUGAGAUCCACCUCUACAAUUUCGAAUGGAACUCGUGUAUUUGUAAGCGUAGGAUGUACCAAACAGAUUCUCCUUCAAUUGCAUCUAUGAUAAAACUUCAAGCAUGUGUGUUUUUCAAAUAUGUGAAUGAUACCCUCCUCACUCUACACAAAAAUCAACUAUAAUAAUGAUACACACCAAUCAACUGUAACCCAACUUCUUGCAAGUGUAGUCAAACAAAGACUGGAAAAGACUUACAGAUGAUUCCUCUUCCGGCAACCUUAGGUAACGAGCAACUUUCAUAAAUCCGGCAAGGUGCGGACGCUGAUAAUCUUCCUUCACUUCUA